rnacentral:rRNA from 1 species
AUGGAUGCUGUGAGCGGCUGUGACCACCGCUUGUGUGACGGGGGGCCCGUCCGUGUGGUCUUUUUCACGACGGGCGACGAUGAUGGUUGUGUUGCACACGUGUCCGUCGCGUUGCUGGAGAUGGAUGAUGCGUGGAGGGAGAGCUCUGAUCUUGAUCUUGAGCUUGAGUGGACCCUGAGCACUGGUCUUGAACUUGAAGCUAGGCAUGCAUUCAUUCCGGAAAUACUGCCCCCUGUCCUCAUCAAAGACGCACUCUACUUCAUGCUUUCCAUUGUUGAUGGUGUUCGUGACAUGGCUAUUCUCAAGUACGACAUGGCCUCUGAUGGCUUGUCAUUGAUUGAUCUACCCGACGUGCGCUCUAAUGGCUUACCGCUCAAAGACCAUUCCUUUAUCCCCAUGGCCAUGGGGGAUGGCAAUUUGGGGUUUGCACAAGUGGACGGGUUAACCCUCAAUCUAUGGUCAAGCUCAAUCCAGACGGGUGUCGAGGGCCUUGCGUCAUGGACUCAGCAUAGAGUUGUCGAUCUCAACAAGAACCUUCUCCCUAUUCGGAAUCCCAAGCAAAGGGUAUGGAAUCACACAAAUAAAUCUACAUUUGCAGAGAGGAUCAACCCCUACGAUGAAGCUCAUUGA